GAGCACGUAGGUGGGUUUGUAAGUCAGACGUGAAAGCCCUCUGUUCAACGGAAGAAUUGCAUCUGAAACUACAAACCUUGAGUGUAGGAGGGGAGAAUGGAACUUCUGGUGGAGCGGUGAAAUGCGUAGAUAUCAGAAGGAACGCCGGCGGCGAAAGCGAUUCUCUGGCCUAUUACUGACACUCAGUGUGCGAAAGCUAGGGGAGCAAACGGGAUUAGAUACCCCGGUGGUCCUAGCCGUAAACGAUGGGCACUAAGUAGAGGGGU
rnacentral:rRNA from 1 species